UUGGUAAGGCAUACCAAAUUAGCUUUUAAAAUUUAGAGUCCCUAAGAGUGAAGUUUAUCUCUGUUAUUUUAGAACAGCCCUCAUACUUGCUGUAUGUUGUGGAUCAGAAAUUAUGGUCAGCAUUCUUCUUCAGCUAAAUAUUGAUGUCUUUUCUCAAGAUAUAUAUGGACGAACAGCAGAAGACUAUGCUGUUUCUAGGCAUUAUAUUAAAAUUUGCCAACAACUUUCUGACUACAAAGAAAAAAAUAUACCAAGAAACACUUCUCAAAAUAGCGAUCUAGAAGGAACAUCUUACAAGAUUGUGUGUUUGGCAGAAGGAACAUCUAAUGAAGUUGUGGCAGAAGGAGCAGCAAGUGCAAAAGGUAAUAUGCUUAAGUGAACUUUGCAGGGUUUAUGAGCACUUCCCUUUUGCUAAUGUGAAAAGUGUGAGAUGUGAGUGGUUGGGAAUAAAGUGAAUACCUAGCUAAGGCAAAUUUAUGACUACCUUUUUUAUACUAUAGAGGUGAGUAGAUCUUAUCCUGUAGACCAUGAGAAAUUUACCGGGUAGAAUGCUUUGGGCUGCAAAUACUAGAUGAGAUAAAUAAAAGUGGCUAAAACAGUAGGGACUAGAGUUGUUUUGGUGGUUCGGUGAUAUCAUCAGAUCCCACUUGUCCCUCUUUCAGCUAUGCUGCUGUCCGUGUAUUGUUCAUGUCCCCUUUCGUGAUUGGCUAAUUAGCAACAGCUCCAAAAAUCGUGUUCUCACAAUACAAUAUCCAAAGGCUAGAAGGGCUGAUUUUCUUCACGUUUUUUUGAAAUAGAGAGAAAUCUCAGAAUUAUGUAGUGGACUUUCUGCAACAUUUUAUGGGCUGAGUAACAUCACAUGUUCUUUCCUAACCAGGCACUGGGAAAGCAAAUGAAGUUACUGUGAUUAGCUUAGGAUAACUGUUUCUCUUUUUGGAGCUGGG
rnacentral:lncRNA from 1 species